rnacentral:sRNA from 1 species
AUUAUAUAAAAAAUAGGGGAUGAAAUCCCCUGCCGUACUAAGGAGGGUGCUCAGACUGCGAAAGCAGUCGUCGAAGGGAAC